CCUACGGGAGGCAGCAGUAGGGAAUAUUGCUCAAUGGGGGAAACCCUGAAGCAGCAACGCCGCGUGGAGGAUGAAGGUUUUCGGAUUGUAAACUCCUUUUGUUAGAGAAGAUAAUGACGGUAUCUAACGAAUAAGCACCGGCUAACGCCGUGCCAGCAGCCGCGGUAAUACGGAGGGUGCAAGCGUUACUCGGAAUCACUGGGCGUAAAGAGCGCGGAGGCGGGAUAGCAAGUCAGAUGUGAAAUCCUAGGGCUUAACCAUAGUACUGCAUUUGAAACUGUUAUUCUAGAGUAUGGGAGAGGUAGGAGGAAUGCUUGGUGUAGGGGUAAAAUCCGUAGAGAUCAAGAGGAAUACUCAUUGCGAAGGCGACCUGCUAGAACAUAACUGACGCUGAUGCGCGAAAGCGUGGGGAGCAAACAGGAUUAGAUACCCCAGUAGUC
rnacentral:rRNA from 1 species